rnacentral:misc_RNA from 1 species
GAUGAAGAACGCAGCGAAAUGCGAUAAGUAGUGUGAAUUGCAGAAUUCAGUGAAUCAUGGAAUCUUUGAACGCACAUUGCGCCCCUUGGUAUUCCAUGGGGCAUGCCUGUUCGAGCGUCAUUUGUACCUUCAAGCUUUGCUUGGUGUUGGGUGUUUGUCUCGCCUUUGCGUGUAGACUCGCCUUAAAAUAAUUGGCAGCCGGCGUAUUGAUUUCGGAGCGCAGUACAUCUCGCGCUUUGCACUCAUAACGACAGCGUCCAAAAGUACAUUUUACACUCUUGACCUCGGAUCAGGUAGGGAUACCCGCUGAACUUAAGCAUAUCAAUAAGCGGAGGA